rnacentral:rRNA from 1 species
AAUACGUUCCCGGGCCUUGUACACACCGCCCGUCAAGCCAUGGAAGUUGGGAGUACCUGAAGUCGGUGACCGCAAGGAGCCGCCCAGGGGUAAAAACCAAUGACUGGGGCU